rnacentral:rRNA from 1 species
GACGAACGCUGGCGGCGUGCUUAACACAUGCAAGUCGAACGGAAAGGCCCUGCUUUUGUGGGGUGCUCGAGUGGCGAACGGGUGAGUAACACGUGAAUAACCUGCCCUUGACUUUGGGAUAACUUCAGGAAACUGGGGCUAAUACCGGAUAGGAGCUCCUGCUGCAUGGUGGGGGUUGGAAAGUUUCGGCGGUUGGGGAUGGACUCGCGGCUUAUCAGCUUGUUGGUGGGGUAGUGGCUUACCAAGGCUUUGACGGGUAGCCGGCCUGAGAGGGUGACCGGCCACAUGGGGACUGAGAUACGGCCCAGACUCCAACGGGAGGCAGCAGUGGGGAAUAUUGCACAAUGGGCGGAAGCCUGAUGCAGCAACGCCGCGUGCGGGAUGACGGCCUUCGGGUUGUAAACCGCUUUCGCCUGUGACGAAGCGUGAGUGACGGUAAUGGGUAAAGAAGCACCGGCUAACUACGUG